AUGAUGUCACUGAGAACUGCCGUAGACUACCUGCUGUACAGAUUUCCUUACAUUGACCAGAUUUGAGGGUGACACUUUCAGAAGAGUCUCCUGUUUAAGAGUGGAAACCUUUACAUACUAAAUCUCUCUAAAGGACCUUUUAUACUUGACAAAAAGAGUGAAGGUCAUGAUGCCUAAUGAUGAUGUCACUGAAAACUCUCAUGGACUACCUGAUGAACAACUUUCCUUACAUUGACAAGAUUCAAGUUUGCACUUUAAAGGCUCCACCAAGGGACGACUGACACUGAAGCAGACGCGCACGGUCAAAUAUCAGAUGGAGCUCAGUGAGUCUCACUGAAGAACUGAAGGAAGGACUGAGAGAGGUAGAGAAGCACAAUGGUCACCACGUGGGUUCACUAAACCCGUUGCCUGUCUGUGGAUCCUGUUCUCCUACCCGGGCUGCGUUUUCAGGACCUGCUGGGAGACAAUGAAUCUAGUCUUGCACAGACUUGAUGUGCCCGAGGAGGGGAUGUACCCAGAGUGGUCCUCUGCUCAUUCAGUGUAGAAUGGGAGAGGAUAGGAGGAGGUACUAUAAAUGGUGGGAGCCUGGAGGAGUGUGGUUGACAGGGCAGCAUUAAGAAUGUUACCUGGUGAAUAUGUACAAACACUUUAGCAAGGGGCAAAGGCAUGACA